UACAUUAAACUUAGUGGCAACACAAGAUGCCAACAAGUUACUUUUAAACAAUGAGGGGUAUAGGAAAGUUUAUAACUUAGCUAUAUCUAAAUGCCAACGUUUGUGGAACCUCCAAAAUAAAUCUGGGCCAUCUGCCGAACUUAUUUUAAAAAAAUUACAUUCUCAACUCCCAUAUCCCGUUAUAACAAGGUGGGGUUCCUUUUAUAAAUCCCUGGCCAAAAUAUUAUCGUUCUUAAAUCAAGUGCCUGUGGAAUUUGAUUCAUUAUGUGAUGAAUUAAAAUUGUGUAGAUUCACAUCAGAUGAUCGUGAUUUUAUAAAAGAAUAUUGUAGUAUUAUGCGACCAGUGUCCAAAGCCAUUGAUAUUCUUGAAGGUGAAAAGUACAUGUAUCUGGGUUAUUAUACCCCAACAAUAACACAAAUAAUUAUAUGUAUGGCAGAUGUGCAGGUAUUAAAAUAUUGUCAACCUCUAAAGGAUACUAUAUUAGCUAGUAUUGAAAAAAGGUUUAAUAAUCUUUAUGAUAAUGACAACAUCAUUGCUUCAAUUCUUCACCCUUUAUUUAAAACUGACUGGCCUUGGAUUAGGCAAGAAAGGAAUAAAGCAAAAAAGGAGGAAAUUUUAAAUUUAAUAAAUACCUUAAUACCUCAGAGUGAAUCCCAGACGAAUGAAUCAUGCUCAAAACCAACAUCACUUGAUGUAGUUGGAUUUUUUGACCUAAAGCGCCAAAAUAUUCUGGAUAAUGAACUUAUAGAAAACUUUAUCAAAUCUAAUAACAACACGUUUUCUUUAUAUAACGAUUUUCCAAAGUUAAAAUUACUCUUUAUUAAAUAUAAUGUUGUUCUAACAUCAAGUGCUCCCGUAGAGCGCUUGUUCAGUCUAGGUAAGCUCAUAUUUGGAGAUAAACGAGCACGUCUUCUAGAUAAUAACUUUGAAAUUAAUUUGUUGUUAAAAGCAAAUAAACAUUUAUUAGAUUCUAAUUUUUAUGAAAAAUAAAUGUUUUUUUUUCAAUGCAAAUAUAUAUUUUUGUA